CAGAAAAGAUCUGAUGAGGAAGUUGCCAAAAUUUAUAUAUGAUGAGGAGAAAACUUUGGAGAGAACCCGCAAAAUAUUAACAGAGAAGAUUGCUCAAUUGAAUUCAGCCAUAGACGAUGUUUCUGCUCAACUACAUGGAGAUGAUGCCCCUAAUGGAGUUGCAGUGAAUUCAGAUGAAGUUGGAGCUUCAAUGUAACAGAAUAUUUGUUGUUAUUGCCAUAUAAAUCAUCACUACUUACGUGUGAUUAGUACUUGAAAAACAAUGUUUUGAAUCCUUUAUCCCUUUUAAUUUUCUAUUCGGUUAAUAAAUUCAGGUUGA